CGCCAGCCUGACGGAGCCAGACCGCGUGGGGGAGGAAGGCCCUUGGGUUGUAAACCCCUUUUCUCAGGGAAGAAACCUGACGGUACCUGAGGAAAAAGCCUCGGCUAACUCCGUGCCAGCAGCCGCGGUAAUACGGAGGAGGCAAGCGUUAUCCGGAAUUACUGGGCGUAAAGCGUUCGUAGGGGGCUCGUCAAGUCUGCUGUCAAAGCUCGGAGCUCAACUCCGACCCGGCAGUGGAAACUGGGGAGCUAGAGGGCGGCAGGGGCAGAAGGAAUUCCCGGUGUANCGGUGAAAUGCGUAGAUAUCGGGAAGAACACCAGAAGCGAAAGCGUUCUGCUGGGCCGCGCCUGACCCUGAGGGACGAAAGCCAGGGGAGCG
rnacentral:rRNA from 1 species